GGGACAGCGGGCGGGGGAAUGCGGAGAGGAGGGAUGUGAUUAACCUGGCUGCGGCAUUCCCGUACAGCGGGACGGGCAGCCGGGGAGGGGAGGCACCGCAGCCCCGCCGCUCGGAGGAGCCGAGCGCGGUCGUCUCGUCGCCUGCCCGGUGCCACGGCCCAAAGGGUGACAGCAAGGACGGUGCGCAGGGCUCCGGCCUGUGUCUCUCCAGAGAAAGGACUUUCCAGAGAAACAAAUCAAGAAAAAAUAACUGGCUUAAUUUCCCUCCACCCAGCAACAGUUCUUCAUAGCUGUACACAGGGACCAUGGAGCAGCAAGAAAGGUUGUGUGGGACAGAGGCUCCUCGGGUGCUCCCACUGGCAGUGUACUUCAACACUGGGCUACAUGCAGAAGAUGCAGCUUGCACCAAGCACUUCCCCAUAGCUGAAGUUUGCAAUGGUAAGGCUAUUGUGGGCUGUGUCUCUCCGUGCCACAAAAUAAAAAUCAUCAGACGGUCCUAGCUACACCUGGCUGCACAUGUAUUUCUUAGUUAUGUCUAUUGUUUUCAUCCCAUACAGUCAUGAAGCUUGCAGAAGGUAGCAAAAUAGCCUGUAAUCUCUUUAUAAAUUCCAGAAAAGAACUCACAGCUGCAUCUCAUGACUUACAUGAAGGAGGCUGAGGUGUCAGGAGCAUACACAGGUUCUUUCCCAGCAUCUGCUGAGACAAAGGUCUCAGGCAGAGAUCUCACUGCAGAGAAUUCAUCAUCCCAAGUGACCUCAGUGGAAACAUCUUAACUUUAAACUUUGGUCUUCAGAGUGCAGGAUUUCCCAGUGGAGCGAUGCAUAUGCACUGACAUCUGCUAAGACAAAAUAACCAAGCUCAGAAGAAAGUUGCUCAUGAUCACAAGGAGUUACUGGAGCCAGCUGAACCUGAGAUUGCAGUCAAUUGGGCUGUGCCUGAGAAAUCCUUGAUCAAAACACACUUCCAGACUGUGAUCUGUAAUGGUUGUCAGCUGCAGUCUGCCUUAGUCUACAACCUAACUGCACCUUGGAGACAACCAGCUCCUGCUUGUAUCUGUGCUGUGGGACUGUCUGCUCAGAACAUGCACUCUUUGGUAGCUUCAGGUUUGUUUGUUUUCUUUUUCUACAUUUGAAAUAUAUUGCAAACUCUUCUUUUUUCAAAGGUGCUUUCUUUCAUUAUAAGUAAUAAUCACAACUACAUUUCCUUAAGGUUAGUCUGUGUUAAAGGUAUAGGAAUCCUUUGCCUUCCUGCUGAUGCUUUCCCUCCCUCCCUCCCUGCUGUUUAUGACCUGACAGAAUAGUUUCUCUCACUGAUUUGUGGACAUUCAAAGGGGUUGCCUAGUCUCUAAUUUUAUUAACAAAUUUUUGUAGCCGUUUUCUUGAAAAAAAAUAAGAGAGUAUUGAUUAAUUUUUUUUUUUUCUUUGCGUGCAAAUGGGAGGAGAGGCCUGCUCUGGCAGGAUGCUGAACAUGCUCUGCCACACAGUGCUUUCUGUCACUUACUGGGCUUUCCAGGCUAGCUGCUGGAAAUGUCACAGGAUUAAUUUCAGAAUCCCCUAAGGCGCCUGUUGGCUUUGUCCAAAAUCAUUACUCAUUCUCUGCUUUGUACUCAUUUUCUGUUACUAAAACACAGUGAGACCUUAGCUGUGUUUGCUGCAUUACUGUUAAUUUCUAUUCUGCUCCACCUGUACUCCUACCCCUUUUCCCCCAGUAUGUUACGUGAGCACCUUGCAGUGGCAGCUGGCAGUGUUCUUCUCUUAGGCAUGCUUAUUUGAUGAGCUAAGUGAUGCAAGGAAGCCAGCCCCACCUCCUCCAGGGACACUCCACUGCUGGAAAUUAGUUGCUUCUGCCUCUUGCUUCCAGUCUGUGAUAGUGCAGUGGAAAAAUCAAUAGCAGACAAAUAAUUAGACACGAUGUCAUCCUUGCAGAUAGGGAGGACUUGCAGGCAGACAGCAGAUCAUAUAUGUGCCUUAAGAAUGCUUGUGGAGAUGGAGUUAUGAUCCAAGAAUGUGCAAAUGGCUUCCCAUCCCAGUGUUGCGUGCUGUGAUGGGGAAGUAGUGCUAAACCAUCUCUAGACUUGAUUAGUGUACAAACACAAAAGGCUUGUUUUGUUAUGGGGAGGUGGUUGGGGUGAUUUUUCUAGGUGAGCAAAGAAGAAACUACGUGAAUGGAAUCUUUCUUUACCUUCUCUCUGCUGGGGGCUAAAAUAAAACUGGAGGGAGCGAUAUGGUGAGAGCUGGUGGGCUGCUCUGAGGAAGGGCACACGUGGAUUCUAUCCAGGAGCUGUAUGCAGAGCCUCAGGGAGAAGGACACCUCUGAGCCAGCCAGGAGGCCUGUCUGCUGCCCACUCCUUUCCCAGCAACCAGUGUUCUCAGGAAGUAAAAGGUCAGCAGAGGCUAUCAGCAGACUACUUCGGUGCAGAGACUUUUUUAUGACUGCAUUAACAACACUUUUCCUGUUGUUGUACAUAAGUUAUGGCUCCUAGUGUCAGUGUUGAGAUGAAAGCAGAAGCUCUUCUGUGUGGAACAAGCAUUAAAAGCUAGUGGAUGUGCUAAUUGUAAAAGAAAAUUAGUGCUGGCUGCCACCUAUUUACUUUCAGAUAAAUUUGCUUUUGUAUUUUAAUUAUUUUAACACUGUGCAUCCAUCUCUACUCUUUUGGACACAGUCAACCACAAGUUUGCCACUGUCCUCUCUCACUGCCUAACCUGGACUCUGCUUCUGUAACCCCUCCAUGAGCUCAGAUCUCAGACUUACAGGAAAAUUUAGAAUCAGAGCAGAAAAAUGGUGGAUAGGAUGGGUCUUUCAGGUGAGCAGUGUGUGAUAACAUGAUGUUCUCACAUGUUAAUGUUUGUAACUGGUUGUGAGAGGAGAGCCUCUGGUUUUAAGGAUGUACCCUUGGACAGCCUUUAACAGUGCCAUGACAAAAUAAAAAUCAUUUAUUAAAA
ensembl:lncRNA